AUACGUAGGGAGCAAGCGUUAUCCGGAUUUAUUGGGCGUAAAGCGCGCGUAGGCGGCUUAUCAAGCAAGAUCUUUAAUCUGAGGGCUCAACCCCCAGCUGGAUCCUGAACUGGUAGGCUCGAGUUUGGUAGAGGAAGAUGGCAUUCCCAGUGUAGCGGUGAAAUGCGCAGAUAUUGGGAAGAACACCAAUGGCGAAGGCAGUCUUCUGGGCCAUAACUGACGCUGAGGUGCGAAAGCUAGGGGAGCGAACAGGAGUAGAUACCCUGGUAGUCCUAGCCGUAAACGAUGGGCACUAGGUGUGGGGAGUCAACUCUCUCCGUGCCGCAGCUAACGCAUUAAGUGCCCCGCCUGAGGAGUACGGCCGCAAGGCUAAA
rnacentral:rRNA from 1 species